rnacentral:rRNA from 1 species
AGGAAGGUGGGGAUGAUGUCAAGUCAGCAUGGCCUUUAUAUCCUGGGCUACACACACGCUACAAUGGCAGAUACAAUAGGUUGCGAAACCGCGAGGUGGAGCCAAUCCUCAAAGUCUGUCUCAGUUCAGAUUGUAGGCUGCAACUCGCCUGCAUGAAGUUGGAGUUGCUAGUAAACGCAGGUCAGCUAUACUGCGUUGAAUACGUUCCCGGGGUUU